rnacentral:tRNA from 1 species
GCCUGGGUGGCUCAGUCGGUUAAGCUUCUGACUUCAGCUCAGGUCAUGAUCUCCCAGUCUGUGAGUUCGAGCCCCGCCUUGGGCU